GGGUCAGUAGGUUGGUCGUGCCACCGGUACGUACUGGUCUCACUGAUUCCUCCUUCCUGAAGAACCGUAAUGCCGCUAAUUUGGUGUUGCGGGGAAACAGGACUGUUACUUUGAAAAAAUUAGAGUGUUUAAAGCAAGCUAACGCUUGAAUACAUUAGCAUGGAAUAAUGAAAUAGGACGAUCGAUCCUAUUUUGUUGGUUUCUAGGAUUGACGUA
rnacentral:rRNA from 1 species